AAAAAAAAAAAAAAAAAGGGAUCUCGGACAAGCAUAUCAAACUCAACCUCGCAAAAAAAUUUUCCUUUACCUAGAAUUUACAGAAAACAAAACAAAGAGAAUAACUUCAAAUUCCUCCAUAACUUGCUAUAUACAAAACUUAUGCUAGAAAAACUUGGGGGAUACAAAAUUACAAAACGCGACAAGGAUGAGAAUUUGAAAUCCCAUACAAGUUGGAGAUCAUGGAUUCAACAUGAAAAUGGAAAUCAUAAUCAGAUGAAAACAAGGAAAAGAAUCAUACAAACACAACACAAAA
rnacentral:misc_RNA from 1 species